rnacentral:rRNA from 1 species
GCUCAGUAACACGUGGCUAAUCUGCCCUUAGGACGAGAAUAACCCCGGGAAACUGGGGCUAACUCUCGAUAGGUGAAGAACUCUGGAAUGAGUCUUCACUCAAAAAGCUUCACGUUAUCCUCGUGAAGUCGCCUAAGGAUGAGGCCGCGGCCGAUCAGGUUGUUGGCGAGGUAACGGCUCACCAAGCCUUUUACCGGUGCGGGCCGUGAGAGCGGGAGCCCGGAGAUGGGUACUGAGACAAGGACCCAGGCCCUACGGGGCGCAGCAGUCGCGAAACCUUUGCAAUACACGAAAGUGUGACAGGGCUAUCCCGAGUGCCAUCCGCUGAGGAAGGCUUUUACCCAGUCUAGAUAGCUGGGGGAAUAAGGAGAGGGCAAGUCUGGUGUCAGCCGCCGCGGUAAUACCAGCUCUCCGAGUGGUGUGGAUGUUUAUUGGGCCUAAAGCAUCCGUAGCUGGCUAGGUCAGUCCCUUGUCAAAUCCACCGAAUUAAUCGUUGGAUCGCGGGGGAUACUGCUUGGCUAGGGGACGAGAGAGGCAGACGGUAUUUUCGGGGUAGGGGUGAAAUCCUAUAAUCCCGGGAAGACCACCAGUGGCGAAGGCUGUCUGCUAGAACGCGCCCGACGGUGAGGGAUGAAAGCUGGGGGAGCGAACCGGAUUAGAUACCCGGGUAGUCCCAGCUGUAAACGGUGCAGACUAGGUGUUUGGACGGCCACGUGCCGUUCUAGUGCCGCAGGGAAGCUGUUAAGUCUGCCGCCUGGGGAGUACGAUCGCAAGAUUGAAACUUAAAGGAAUUGGCGGGGGAGCAC